UACGUAGGCAGCGAGCGUUGUUCGGAGUUACUGGGCGUAAAGAGUGCGUAGGCGGUUUUCUAAGUUUGGUGUGAAAUCUCCCGGCUUAACUGGGAGGGUGCGCCGAAGACUGGAAGGCUUGAGUAUGGGAGAGGUAAGCGGAAUUCCUGGUGUAGCGGUGAAAUGCGUAGAUAUCAGGAGGAACACCGAUGGCGAAGGCAGAUCUCUGGGCCGUAACUGACGCUGAGGAGCGAAAGCAUGGGGAGCGAACAGG
rnacentral:rRNA from 1 species